GUUCAAUUUACCUAAAUUUGAAACUAAUCACACCCAUCUCUACCACCAUUAGACUUCCCUUGAGGUAUGGAACAAUGCCCAAUCAAUUGUAGGGGCGACAAAUCAUCGAGGAGGAAGAAUCGAAGCACACCCACACUUAGGGUUCCGACGGAUUUUAGCUAAAUUGGGGCUUUUCCCGAUCAAUUUGGCCUUGAUCACAAGUAUGAAAGACCCAUUGAGACCUUCAUUUUUGUAAUUUUUAGAAUUUUUAGAAAUAUUGAAUUUUCCGGCGAGUUGGGGAGGCCGACUACCACCCGAGGUAGCGCGUGGCCAGGGGACCGUCAAUGUUAUUCUUAGGCUAAAUUAGAUACCUUGAGUUCAGUUUUGGUAAUUGUAUAAAGUAGGUUGAUCCUUUGGACCUAAAUUCAUUAAGAUAUGUUACUUGGUAAAAAUAUGAAUCGACGAUUCGACCGUUGGAUUGUCACCAAACUUUAAUACGUUAUAAUACAUAAUAUUUAAAGAUCAUAGGAACUUACGGAUCGGGAAUCCGAUAUACGGAUCUUCCUGAAUUGGAUUUGUAAGUUCAUAAAAUAAAAGGUUAACAGCCACUUAGUUUUGGCAAUUGGCGGAGAUACGAUCGUUGGAUCGUAAUGGAACUUUAGGAUGUUGUUUUAGAAUUAUAAUGUGUAUCUUUGGAAGUAACGGACCGAAAAUCCGCGAUGCAGAUCUUUCGAAUUGAAUUACGUAGGGAUGUGUUUCAUGUAAAUUAUAUAUUCUAUCGGUAAGAACUCUGAGAUGUGAUUUGAUAAUUGUUCUAGGCGACGAUGGUUCAUGAUGUCUCGAUAUGCAUGCUAGGAAGUCGUAGCGCGGACCUUAGGUGAGCAGGUCUUUCCUUUCUAUUGUAUAUAUAUUAUGUAUAUGAUUGAUAAUUCCAUAAACGUUUAUAAAUUGAUUAUUGCUUAUAAUUAUUGUGAAUGCUUUGAAGUACUAGUGCGAACUACGAAUGACUUGAUCCCUAUUUAGGGUACGUAGGCAGUCUAAGGAAACGUUAGAUGCAGCCAUAACAUAAAUGAGAUUAAAUAAUUGAGACAAUAGCCUUGUUUGGGAAAUUGUGCAAGGUGAGGGACAUUGGUAGAAAAUGUGAGAUUUAACCUUAUGAUUUAGUGAUUGGAUGUUGGUCAUAAAUCAUUGUGUGAAGGAUCGAGAAUUCGAAGUAAAGAAUUGUAAAUAUUGAUAGUUAGUUAAACUAGUGUUUAGUUGAGCUUGUCACCAAUAAUUAUUCCAAAAAAUUUAUAGUUCAGGAGUAGAGCAUUAUAGAUUGUGCAUUUUAUGCCACAUUAUUGAUAUAUAUAUAUAUAUAUAUAUAUAUAUAUAUAUUUGGCAGCACUACGAUAUGGUUAAGUUUUGAAUAGCAUCAAGGCAUGUCCAUAAGUAUAUUAUUACGCAUAAUUAUUAUGAACGCUUUAAGGUACGAAGGUGAACAUGGGAUGCAUAGAUAAGUUCAGGUG
rnacentral:lncRNA from 1 species